UCCCUGGAGGACUAGUGGUUAGGCCACAGCGCUCUCACCGCUGCGGCCCCUGUUUGAUUCCUGGCCAGGGAA
rnacentral:tRNA from 1 species